AUAUAAUAAUACAAGAGCUCAUCUUCAGAUGGGUUGUAUUUCGGUCUUCAUUAUUUCAUGAAUGGUUUGGACAGGGGUGAUGAGCUGAAUGUCCCUCAGAAGAUCAAACCCUUCUGUGUUCAGUCCGAGACAGAAGAUCAUUAGCCUGAAGUCUCUUUAAAAGACAGGUUUGUAUAUAUUUGUGUCCUGAAUCCAGAUCCUGAAGUCUGUGCUGUGUUUAUCACCAGAAGAUCUCAAUCAGAUGCUCCUGAUCACAAUCAUUUUAUUUAAAGGAUUAUAGAUGAGAUUCCACCCUAACAGAGAAGCACCACGACAUCAUCUUCAUCUCAAUCUUCAUCUCAAACACAGAUUCAGCUACAGACUCUUUAACUCAAUCAGUGUGAACGCACUAAAUGAUUGUUUUUUUAUUAUUCUUUAUAUUUUUGAGGUAAACCGGUUUACUGAAUGUUAAAGAUGUUCCAAAGACAUGCAAGCAAUGUUUGCUUUUUUCUAUAAAACCAAGUAAAUAAAAACAUUUUGCAAA